rfam:Trametes pubescens strain FBCC735 TRAPTBscaffold_1240, whole genome shotgun sequence.
UUACCACUCUGGCCUUUUGGCUUAGAUCAAGUGUAGUAUCUGUUCUUAAUAGUUUAACCACUAUUAUGGGGCCAUCGGCCCCAUUCUUGGUUAUCUAAUUUUUGCCGCCCCUGUCCCUUGGGCUCUGCUUGUAACCCGGGGGCGCGAUGACUUUGCCACUGCAGUACCGGCUUGUGUCGUCGGGGGAUC